rnacentral:rRNA from 1 species
AGAGUUUGAUCAUGGCUCAGAACGAACGUUGGCGGCGUGGAUUAGGCAUGCAAGUCGAACGAAUCCCAUCUGGGUAACUGGGUGGGGGAAGUGGCGAAAGGGGCAGUAAGGCGUGGGUAACCUGCCCCGGAGUUGGGGAUAGCCUCUCUAACGAGAGGGUAAUACCGAAUGCCAUGGCGGGGGGGCCUCCCUCUGUCAUGAAAGCUCCGGCGCUCCGGGAGGGGCCCACGUGGUAUUAGCUAGAUGGCAGGGUAACGGCCUACCAUGGCAAAGAUGCCUAGCAGGUGUGAGAGCACGACCUGCGCCACUGGCACUGGGACACUGGCCAGACUCCUACGGGAGGCUGCAGUCGAGGAUCUUCGGCAAUGGGCGCAAGCCUGACCGAGCGACGCCGCGUGUGCGAUGAAGGCCUUCGGGUUGUAAAGCACUGUCGGGGGGGAGAAAACCCGCAAGGGUUGAUCGACCCCCGGAGGAAGCACGGGCUAAGUUCGUGCCAGCAGCCGCGGUAAGACGAACCGUGCUAACGUUGUUCGGAAUCACUGGGCUUAAAGGGCGCGUAGGCGGGCCAGCAAGUCAGGGGUGAAAUCCCACGGCUCAACCGUGGAAGAGCCUUUGAUACUGCGGGCCUCGAGGGAGGUAGGGGCGUGCGGAACUUCCGGUGGAGCGGUGAAAUGCGUAGAUAUCGGAAGGAACAUCGGUGGCGAAACGGCGCGCUGGACCUCUUCUGACGCUGAGGCGCGAAAGCCAGGGGAGCAAACGGGAUUAGAUACCCUAGUAGUCC